rnacentral:rRNA from 1 species
AUGGUAGGAUAGAGGCCUACCAUGGUGGUAACGGGUAACGGGGUGUUAGGGCACGACACCGGAGAGGGAGCCUGAGAAACGGCUACCACAUCCAAGGAUGGCAGCAGGCGCGCAAAUUACCCAAUCCCGACACGGGGAGGUAGUGACAAUAAAUAACAAUACGGGGUUCUUUAGGAUCUCGUAAUUGGAAUGAGUACAAUUUAAAUCUCUUAACGAGGAACAAUUGGAGGGCAAGUCUGGUGCCAGCAGCCGCGGUAAUUCCAGCUCCAAUAGCGUAUAUUAAAGUUGUUGCAGUUAAAAAGCUCGUAGUUGAAUUUCGGGGUCAGUAGGUCGGUCGUGCCACUGGUAUGAACUGGUUUUACUGGUUCCUCCCUCUUGAAGAACUGUAAUGCCAUUAAUUUGGUGUUGCAGGGAAUCAGGACUGUUACUUUGAAAAAAUUAGAGUGUUUAAAGCAGGCUUUAGCUUGAAUACAUUAGCAUGGAAUAAUGAAAUAGGACGUUUGAUCCUAUUUUGUUGGUUUCUAGGAUUGACGUAAUGAUUAAUAGGGAUAGUUGGGGGCAUUAGUAUUCAAUUGCCAGAGGUGAAAUUCUUGGAUUUAUUGAAGACUAACUACUGCGAAAGCAUUUGCCAAGGAUGUUUUCAUUAAUCAAGAACGAAAGUUAGGGGAUCGAAGACGAUCAGAUACCGUCGUAGUCUUAACCAUAAACUAUGCCGACUAGGGAUCGGAUGAUGUUAAUUUUUUAAUGACUCAUUCGGCGCCUUACGGGAAACCAAAGUGUUUGGG